GACGAACGCUGGCGGCGUGCCUAAUACAUGCAAGUAGAACGCUGAAGAGAGGAGCUUGCUCUUCUUGGAUGAGUUGCGAACGGGUGAGUAACGCGUAGGUAACCUGCCUUGUAGCGGGGGAUAACUAUUGGAAACGAUAGCUAAUACCGCAUAACAAUGGAUGACACAUGUCAUUUAUUUGAAAGGGGCAAUUGCUCCACUACAAGAUGGACCUGCGUUGUAUUAGCUAGUAGGUGAGGUAAUGGCUCACCUAGGCGACGAUACAUAGCCGACCUGAGAGGGUGAUCGGCCACACUGGGACUGAGACACGGCCCAGACUCCUACGGGAGGCAGCAGUAGGGAAUCUUCGGCAAUGGGGGCAACCCUGACCGAGCAACGCCGCGUGAGUGAAGAAGGUUUUCGGAUCGUAAAGCUCUGUUGUAAGUCAAGAACGGGUGUGAGAGUGGAAAGUUCACACUGUGACGGUAGCUUACCAGAAAGGGACGGCUAACUACGUGCCAGCAGCCGCGGUAAUACGUAGGUCCCGAGCGUUGUCCGGAUUUAUUGGGCGUAAAGCGAGCGCAGGCGGUUUGAUAAGUCUGAAGUUAAAGGCUGUGGCUCAACCAUAGUUCGCUUUGGAAACUGUCAAACUUGAGUGCAGAAGGGGAGAGUGGAAUUCCAUGUGUAGCGGUGAAAUGCGUAGAUAUAUGGAGGAACACCGGUGGCGAAAGCGGCUCUCUGGUCUGUAACUGACGCUGAGGCUCGAAAGCGUGGGGAGCGAACAGGAUUAGAUACCCUGGUAGUCCACGCCGUAAACGAUGAGUGCUAGGUGUUGGAUCCUUUCCGGGAUUCAGUGCCGCAGCUAACGCAUUAAGCACUCCGCCUGGGGAGUACGACCGCAAGGUUGAAACUCAAAGGAAUUGACGGGGGCCCGCACAAGCGGUGGAGCAUGUGGUUUAAUUCGAAGCAACGCGAAGAACCUUACCAGGUCUUGACAUCCCGAUGCUAUUUCUAGAGAUAGAAAGUUACUUCGGUACAUCGGUGACAGGUGGUGCAUGGUUGUCGUCAGCUCGUGUCGUGAGAUGUUGGGUUAAGUCCCGCAACGAGCGCAACCCCUAUUGUUAGUUGCCAUCAUUCAGUUGGGCACUCUAGCGAGACUGCCGGUAAUAAACCGGAGGAAGGUGGGGAUGACGUCAAAUCAUCAUGCCCCUUAUGACCUGGGCUACACACGUGCUACAAUGGCUGGUACAACGAGUUGCGAGUCGGUGACGGCGAGCUAAUCUCUUAAAGCCAAUCUCAGUUCGGAUUGUAGGCUGCAACUCGCCUACAUGAAGUCGGAAUCGCUAGUAAUCGCGGAUCGGCACGCCGCGGUGAAUACGUUCCCGGGCCUUGUACACACCGCCCGUCACACCACGAGAGUUUGUAACACCCGAAGUCGGUGAGGUAACCUUUUGGAGCCAGCCGCCUAAGGUGGGACAGAUGAUUGGGGUGAAGUCGUAACAAGGCAGCCGUAUCGGAAGG
rnacentral:rRNA from 1 species